AGCGGCGAACGGGUGAGUAACACGUGAGUAACCUGCCCUAGGCUUUGGGAUAACCCUCGGAAACGGGGGCUAAUACCGAAUAUGACUUCCUGCCGCAUGGUGGGGGGUGGAAAGUUUUUCGGCCUGGGAUGGGCUCGCGGCCUAUCAGCUUGUUGGUGGGGUGAUGGCCUACCAAGGCGACGACGGGUAGCCGGCCUGAGAGGGCGACCGGCCACACUGGGACUGAGACACGGCCCAGACUCCUACGGGAGGCAGCAGUGGGGAAUAUUGCACAAUGGGCGGAAGCCUGAUGCAGCGACGCCGCGUGAGGGAUGACGGCCUUCGGGUUGUAAACCUCUUUCAGCAGGGACGAAGCGUGAGUGACGGUACCUGCAGAAGUAGCGCCGGCCAACUACGUGCCAGCAGCGGGUGAAAAUGACGGCUAACUACGUGCC
rnacentral:rRNA from 1 species